CUCCACAGAAUCUAAGAAUCAAGAAGACUGGCAGACGGAGGAUAUUCUAAUCGCUGUCACAAUGCUGCUGACUUUCAAAUACACCUCUGCCACCUGCUAGCUACAUCAAGAGAAAUUACGUCAAAAUUCAGCUUGGGGGAGAGCACCCCAUUUAUCUCGAUAAGUAUUUCUAUCUAUCUAUCUCUAUACUUAUAUUCUUUUAGAAUAUAAAUAUACAUAACUAUGAAAAACCAAAUAAAGAUUUUAUGCUUAUAUAUAUAUGUCUUUUGCUUAGUGUGUUUAAUAAAUAAAUAAAGUGGCUAUGCUAAUCUAUAUCUAAAUAAAACUCAAGCAUGGAAAUGAUGAAUAGUUGCUCUGCCUAAUUUGCACAUUUUAAGUUCUCUCUCACGUUUAGACAUAACUGUUAUAAUUUAAAGCUUGCUCUAGACCUAAACUUGUGGGAUGAAAACUUGAUAUGGGAAGGUUGAGCUGCUGUUUAUCUGUUUCUAGAGAUGCUAGAAUUCUGGAGAAUUUUAUCUUUGGAAAUCUUUAAAAUGUUGCAUGACGAGUUCCUGUAUGAUGAGAGUUUAAAUUCCUACCACAGCCAUAUAUACAUGCUUGCUAGACUUCGAGCCACACAAUUACUUUUUACUGCUUAUGAGCAUUGAGUGUGGUCAAGCUGUGUAGACCCUUAGGAGCUUGUCAUGUGGUUAAAUCAAGAUUCACUUGCACGUUCACUCACACAUGCUACUUCUACUCCGGAAGUACCAUCCACAUAUAUCCAUACAUUUCCAUCUUCAGAAUCACCCAAAAAUAUUCUACUCCUAAUCCGGGAGAGAAUAGCCAAAAAUAAUUUUGUUCUUCCUUGUGUAAUAAAUGCCUCAAGAUCAAUAAAGAGUAUUAUUAUUAUGUCUUGUGUGUCUCUACUUUAUUUUUGUGCAAGAAAGCAGAAAACAAGUAUGGGGGAGAUCCCUCGACAUGCUAAACACACUCCGACUACACCACUCCACGAUUCAGGUACACACUCUGCACACUUUACUCUACACAUAUAUAUAUUUUAGAUUAUGCAGAAUAUUGUUCCCGACAUGAUAAAAUAAAAAGAUUAAAAUAUUUCUAAUCAUGAUUAAUCUCAAUCUGUGAUAUUUCCUGAAAACUUGCAAUUAGUAUAAAAUCAUUUUUUUUAAAAAAAACCCUGUGUUACUUAAGUCAAGAAGGAAUAUGUGAUGGUAGAGUAUGAGUUUCUUAUUCUUGAUAUCAUUGUUGCUUGGAGAAUUUAUUUCAAAAUGUUCAAAUUCCUAGCUACCAACCUCAGUGUUUUAUAUGCCUGAUAAAACUGAAAUAUUAAAUAUGAUUAUAAAAGCUAUCUGCUCUGUAUUGAGUUUGUUCAAAAUGAGUUAGACCCUUGUUGAGAGAUUUAUCAUGCUCCCAAGAUCAAGACACUAUUUCAGUAAGAUUCACUCUUCCGAAGUAUUAUUGCAUUAGAGGCAUGGUCUAUGCAAAAAUAUAAGAUAUUUCGAGGAAAUAAAAAGGAGCAAGUGCUCGACAACCUCGCAGAAAAAAAUGGACAAGUGUCCGACAGUAGAAUUAGAGGUACCUCGGUAUCCACUUAAAAAAAAAAGAGAAAAGAGAGAAAAAAAAUGAUAGCCCAUGGUCCAUCUAAUAAGCAAUAUGCCAGUAAGAGUUGACAAAGAUUUUAAUUUUCAAAGUCUUUGAUCUAAGAGUAUGACAUUUCCCUCCUCGGAUCCCGUUUUGAUCAGACAAUAAAUCCAAAGUAAGUAUGCUUGAGAAUUUUUGCAAAAUAAAACAGCCUCAGUGAGAUAUAUAUAUAAAAGAUAAUGAGUGAUCCGAGAGAACCUAUGAGGAUCAAAAGGUAUGCUAACUUUCUUUCAAAAAUAUACAAAAAAAAACUCCAAGUGACAGGAUUGAGAAGAAAGGAUCUCUACUCUUAUACUUCCCUGACUAUGGUACACAGUGGAAUUUUUUAACACCCUGCAAUUGUAAAGAGAAUGUUUUAAAUGUUUACCCCAGAUAUUUUUCUUAACCAUCCUUUUCUCGAGGACGAGUAAAAGCCUAAGUAUGGGGGUAUUUGUUGACGGUUCUUAAGUAUCAAUUUUAAUUAUCAAAUAAACAAGAGAAAGGACCAAUAUGCAACCAUCACCUAGAAUUAGGGUUUGAUCUGACAGAAUUCCACGAGUUUUGUUGUUUAUCUAUUUCUGCAGGGGGUUAUCAGGAAAUAAGGAAGAAAUGCCCAUAUGUCGGGAUUACAUAGAGAUAUCAACGCACCGCGCAAUUCUACAUCAUCUAGAAGACUCCAGAAGCCACGAGACCGAAGCGGAGGCGAAGCUGGGCCAGGCCCAGGGCGCCCGCCCUGGAAGCCUGGGCGCCCGCCCCCCUGCUAGAGCCAAUUCAGGACUCCUUCGCUCGGGGUAUUCCACCGACCUAUUGGAUCAAGAAAAACAUAGUACCACCUCGGCUAUCGACCCAAAAAUGCAUAGAAGGGGAGGCCUAUAUAAGCGAGGCUCCCCUGGCCCCUGGAAGACAUGAAGAAAUUAUCAUAGAGACUGAGGGGUGCCCUCGAAGGAAAACCUCUUCUCUAAUUAAUAUUUCUUUUUAGGCUUAGCAAUCAAUGUAAGGUAGAAAUAGAUCUUCUAGUUUCUACUAGAUUGAGAGAGAUAGAGUGGAGGUAUAUAGUGGAGGAAGCCCGGCCUGUCGGUGUCUACUCCAAGCUUGUACCUGCGGGAUCAAGUUCUCCUAACCCGAAGCUUGCUCCUAGGAUUCUUCAGUAAUUCGACUUCUAAAUUCUAGUAAGUUCUUGUUUUAUUGUUCUUAUGGUUUAUGAGUUUACUUUAAUCUCUUCGCGUAGAGUUUAGAGUAAUCAUUGCUGGCGUAAACGUGGUGUUUAGGCUGGGGUACUCAUAGAUAUUCCCUGACUAGCUGGACCGUGGUAGUAGUGAGGAACGUGACAAUUCCGAGCUACCUUUGUAGAUCACAUCUCGUUAGCAGGAAGGAUAGGGUUUAUAGGUGCGGGUUGAACAUCCUUUGUGGUGUCUAGAUUCCGUUAGCCUCCCCAUUAGAACAGUAGAUCAUCCUUACCAAGGUUAGAAGGAGACUACGGUUGCAGUCUUCUCUAUUUAUCACUCACAUCGAAAGACAUUCUUUGUGCCUAAAGGGAUAGUAGCAAUAGAUUUGGUUAGUCAGAUGCACCCUUUCUCCCAGUGGUAAAAAUAUAAAUACGAUACUCUGGAAAACCUCCCGGGUGAAAUGCUCACCGAUAUCCGUGCGCUUGCGGAUCAUUUCCUUAUUGCGUUACCAAAUAUCAACAGUAGUAACAAGAUAACUUGAGCAUUUAUUUCAUAGGGAAGAACAGAAAUAUUUUUGGCUAUUCUCUCCCGGAUUAGGAGUAGAAUAUUUUUGGGUGGUUCUGGAGAUGAAAAUGGGUGGAUAUAUGUGGAUGCGUACUUCCGGAGUAGAAGUAGCAUGUAUGAGUGAACGUGCAAGUGAAUCUUGACUUAACCACAUGACAAGCUCCUAAGGGUCUACAGCUUGACCACACUCAAUGCUCAUAAGCAGUAAAAAGUAAAUGUGUGGCUCAAAGUCUAGCAAGCAUGUAUAUAUGGCUGUGGUAGGAAUUUAAACUCUCAUCAUACAGGAACUCAUCAUGCACAAUUUAAAGAUUUUCAAAGAUAAAAUUCUCCAGAAUUCUAGCAUCUCAAGGAACAGAUAAACAGCAGCUCAACCUUCCCAUAUCAUAUCCGUUAACGACUUAGACUUUAGAUCAAGUACUCUCCCCACAAGUUCAGGUUUAGAGCAAAUCUUAAUUAAUAACAGUCGUGCCUAAACUUGAGAGAGAUUUUAAUUUUGAGAACUAAUCAUGGAAGAGUAACUACUCAUCAUAUCCAUGUGAGAGCUUAUCAUGAGGGUUCAUAACGAUCUUUAUUUAUUUAUUUAUUUAGCAAACUAAGCAAAGAUAUAUAUAUAUAUAAGCACAAAAUCUUUAUUUGGGUUUUAUGAUUAUGCAUUUUAUUAUUUGAGUAAAGUAUAAACGUGAGUAGAAACACUUAGCUGGAUAAAUGGGGGUGCUCUCCCCCAAGCUGGAUUUUGACGCAAUUUCUUCUGAUGUAGCUAGCAGGUGGUGGAUGUGUAUUUGAAUGUCGGCAGCACCCUGACCGCGAUUAGGAUGUCCUCCGUCUGCUAGUCUUCUUUGAUCCUUGAAUUCUGUGGAGCUCAAAUAGACAACAAAGCUUUGUGAAACUAGUUAAGUGUUAGCAUAAGUAUCUAGCCUUUAUCAUGUUGAGCUUCCUCAAUAAAUGUUACUCUCUUUAGUAGGAUCAUAAUUUUAUUUUUAUAGGACAGGAAUAUGUUUAUUUCAAGUUUAUGCCACCACAGUGAAUGUACUUAUGGGUUUUAUGCCAUGAGUAUACUCACAUGGGGCUUACUAUUUUUUAACAUUUUUAUUUUCUUUCAAGAUGAUAUGGACCUGAUUAACUAAGCAAACUAUUUUAAACAAUUGAAAGGAAAAAGAUAACUACCAAGUUUACCUCUUGGCAAGGCGUUCGGUGUCUUUAAGUCCUCCGAACAGGAUUCUCCGUUUUCUCAAUCAUCCUGGAAUUCGCUGGAUGGCGUAGUCGGUGGUUCCGAUGGAGCCUGCUCUUCAUGUAUAACUAUCUUUUUUUUCUCCACACCUGCCUUGGUGCACUUCUCCUUCGUACUCUGCCCAUCCGUCCUUUAUGAUUUUCCUCCUCUGGUUACGGUUGUGUCGUCUUCUUCUUGUCCUGACCUGCUUAGAGUCUUCAACUAUAUAGUUAGGGUCAAUAAAAUAGCGGCGUACCUUCUUAGAGGGGAAAUGCAUGUGGACUUCUCCAGUUCCAAUGUAGAUGAUUGCUUUAACGGUGCUGAGGAACGGUCUUCCAAUGGUGAUGGGUGGAUUGUACUCGUCUUCUCCCAUGUCAAUAACCUUAAAAUCAUCUAGAGCUGAAUGUAUGUUGGUUGUAGGGGCAUGGUUCCAUGCAGGAGCUGAUAAGUGACUGCGGCCAUUUUGUUGACGUCACAUCCGGUGUCGUAGAGUGUCUUCUAAAAAGAAUAUUCGUUGAUUGUGCACUCGAUGCUUGGAACACCAGGGUCGUCCUUCUUGGUCAGGAACGGUGACUUAAGUCAACGAUCUUGACCUCCUUGAACUGCAGUGACCAUCUUAGCUGACUUGGUCUAUAUUUUCUUGUUCCUAUUCCUCCUGUUGGUCCUCUUCCUUGGUUCAUGUCGGGAUUGCUCUGAGAUUUGUGUAGUCUUGUUCUUGAAGGAAAACGUCUCAUUCCUCCCCCUUGAUGUAGAAACUGAUCUUGGCAGCACUAGCGUAGAUGACACCUCCUGAGGUAUUCAGGAAUGGCUUCCCUAGGAUGAUGGGUGCCCUCUCAUCAGUACCAGUCUCUAUCACCACGAAGUCUGCAGGGGCGUACAAGGUACCAACUCGGACGCGGAGGUUUUUCCAUAUUCCCUUUGGGAAACUUAGUGUCUGAUCUGCAAACUGCAAACACAUGGCUGUUUCUAAUAAAGGAUGUGUAAAGAAUUUUUCAUAGAGUACCCUAGGCAUAAUGUUGACGCUGGAGCCAAAGUCACAGAGUGCUUCUGGGAAGUCCACCAUGCCGAUGGAGAUCGGGAUGACGGGGCGUCCUGGAUCGCCUCUCUUGACCGGCAGAAGGUCAGUAAUUACUUCCACAAUGGGGUUACUCUAGUAGUUACGUCCUCAAGCAUCUCAGGGUAGUGAUUGCCUGAGUGUCUAGUAUCUCCAGUGUGUUUGUGCUCGUAGAUCUAGGUUCUUCACUUGGUGGAGUCUGGGAGUUAUAAAAGUCCUUCAUAUUUUGCUCGAAAUGUACCUGCUCAUAGAGACAAGGCAGAGAUCAAGUGCAUGGGCCCUGUUGGUGGAAAACACCAACAGAACCAAAAGUGUAUUUGCUCUUCUCUAUCCUUAAGCAUAGUGAGCAAGACACAGUUGAUGGAUAAUAAGAUCAUGAGUGUAGCAAUUAAAACAUUUGUCAGAUCAGAUCACUCAACCUAAUGGAAAGAUAAUCUAUAUCUAUACUUAUGUUUAUAUAUAUGAGUGUGCAACAUUUUAGCUCAUAUGAUUAGGAGUGUGGGAUCACAAAGGUGGAAGGACUAAACAUAUUAAAUCGAUUGGGUUGGUUAAUCUAGAGUUGUAAAUCAUACAUGUUUGUCUCUUUUACUCAUGUGAACGCCAGAACCAAGGAGAAGCUUAUAAAAGGGAUAGUCAAGUACUUUAAGAUGUUACCUUACUUGAAGAGUGAUGGUACAGUAUCACCUUGUGGAAGCUUUCCUCUCUUAGCGGUUGUGCAUCGUGUUUUUGGCACCCUCCAUGGAUCAUCUCUUGUGAGCUAUGCCUUCCUUGUGUAAAUUGUUAAACUUCAUGCGUGUCUCUCUUUGUCUCCAAUGUGAGUUUAUCUCAGGACUUCCCAGGUCGAUAUUGAAAGUUUUCCUGCAGGGGUUAGUCCAACAAAAUAUCCCAUAUCUACUAUAGCAUACUAUUGGCUCAAAAAUCAACUUAGACACCAUGUCUAAUUUGAUUUAGGAGGGCAUUUUAACCUAAGCACCAUGCUUAAUUUAAAAUCCCUUGGAAGUAAGAUCAACAUUCCUAACUAAGCACCAUGCUUAAUUAAGAGAUAAAUGAAACUACUCCAAGCCUAGACAUAUACUAAAGCAAAUAAAGGUAGCAUGAGAGCAUUUAUAGAGAUCUACUCAAGUGGAAAUGAAGUAGUGUGAUUAGUAUUUAACAGAUUGAGCAUGUCUCAAAGGUAGGGACAACCAACAUAGCAACAUGGCAAAGGAUGUUUUUAUGUAAAGUACUCCCCCAAGCUUGAAUUUUGCAAAAUUCAAGUUUGGAUGAAUUUAAUUCAAUGUUGUAUGAUGGUUGGUUGGAUAUACCUUAUGCUUGUCAUUCAUCCGAUCUUCUUGCUCCAAUCCUAGAAAGGUUAGUGACAAGAAUACCCGAAGGAAUUUUUUUUUACAAUUAUCCUUAUAUGCUCAAUACACAAGGUAGUGUUGCAAAUAAUUAAAAGCUUAUGUUACGAUCUGAUCAGUGCUUGUUUUAGGACACUAAGCUUGUCCUUGGGAAACCAUCAAUUUAUGUCGGCGAAGUGGUUUCCCCUCCAACGCUGACCUAUAUCAAGAUCAACUCAACGAGAUCUGCAAUAUUUAAUAUAGACAUAUGCAUCGACAACCGCCCUUUUAAAGUUUUUAUGAAUAGAAAGGAAGAGGGGGUUGGAGAUCUCGAAUGUGGUGAUGUUGGAGAGACCAAUGGAUUGUGAAGAUGUUGCAUAUGAGCAUGGAGUAAAUGAAGUGGCUAUGAAAUAAAUUCCAUGCUCAUUAAUGCUUAGAGUGAAAUCCAUGUGGUAUGGUGAAAGUGAUAAGGUGAGUGUGGUAAAAAAAAGGAAAAGAAAAAGGAUACAUGGACGACUUGGUUCGAAACUAGCACAUCUACCGUUCCCCGGCAUGGGCGCCAGAAAGCUUGUUGGGUAUUUUAAACGCAAACAGAAAAAUCCGCAAGCGCACGGAUACCGAUGUAGCCUUCACCCGGGAGUAUUCCAGAGUAUCGAUUUUCCACAGAGAACGUGAGUGUACUAAUUAAGAUCCAAGAUCGCCCAAGGAUAACUAUAUAAUUAUUUUUGGUGGGAAGAGAGGAAGUUUCCUGAGAGUUCUCUAGUUGAUCUAAGAAUCAAGAAUUACUUCAAGAUUAUCUAUAUCGGGACAUCAGAGCACUAACCACGGAAAGAGAUGAGAAGGGGGCUAGGAAGGUCUGACUACGGUCCUACAAACACCGAUCCGAACGUGGUGGAAUACGUCGACCGUUAGGGCUGUCACUACCCUAGGGCUACCACAACAAUCCGUAGGACUGGGUGCAAUUCUAGGUAAUCGCAAGACUAAACACCACGUCUAAUCUAUUAAUUACUACUCUAAUGUUUCAAAGACUAGAGCACUUGAUGCAAGCGGGAAUCCAAUAAAUAACUUGAAUGUAAAUAAAAGUAAUUAGAGAACUCAGGAGUUAUGAGUUGAAGAACCUGGAGAACGAUGAAGAACGAACCAGAUGCUGCAAAAGUACAAUGUUGAGGAAGAUCCGACAGAUCCGGCUCCUCCUCCGCUCUCCUCUUCUCUCUCCCUAUUUUCUAGAUUACAACUAGAACUAACUAGAACUAGAACUAGAGGAACUAGAACUAGAACUAGAUGAACUAGAACUAGAUCUAGAUGAACUAGAGGUAGAACUAGAAGAACUAGAGGGAUCCUCUCUACUUGGAUGAAGAAUUGAAACCCUAGCUUUGAUUCUGUAGAAAAGGUAUGAUCUCCAGGGGCCAGGGGUCUGGUUUUAUAGUCCCUUCAAGUGAAUCUGGGCCGUCGGAUCAAACCGACAUUGAUCGUGUGGUUUUCCUUGAAGUAUUAGGUCGGUGGAGCAUUGUCCCCGAGUUGGACUCUGUUUGGUCCAGGGGGGAGGGCGGGCGCCCAGUAAGGGAGGGCGGGCGCCCAGUGCCUGGCUCCGUUACGUCUCCCGUUCGUUCCCGUGGCUUCUGGAGUCUUCUAGAUGAUAGAAAAUUGCGCGACACGUUAAUAUCUCUAUGUAAACCCGACGUGUGGGCCUUUCUUCCAUAUUUCCUGAUAACCCCCUGCAGAAAUACACAAACACCAAAACUCGUGGAAUUCUGUCAGAUAAAACCCUAAGUCUAGGUGUUGGUUGCAUUUGGAUCCUUUUCCAUGAUUAAUUGAUCGUUAAUUGUGAGCAUUAAGGACCGUCAACAUAGCCCCCGAGGGGGUACCGACUAUGAUGGGUCAUAGUCGGUACUCCCUUCUAACGUCGAGAUUUUGACUUGUAAAGCCUUGGUACAAAAGGAAGUUGCUUGAGGGAAAGACUUCGUUUAUUCAUGCAUUCAUUUGCAAGGCCUUGGUACAGAAUGUGCGCUGGAACAUAAAGUUUCGAAGUUCUAAGGGUAGAAUCGACGUAGCUGUUCGAUGUUCCAUGCGUUGGUGAAGAUCGCCCCCUUUUCGUCCGCUAACUUGUAUGUCCCUGGCUUCAAGACCUCGGCCACCACGUACGGGCCCUCCCAAGGUGGAGUCAACUUGUGGCGUCCUUGAUUGCUUUGCCGCCGUCGCAGGACAAAGUCGCCCACGUUUAAGUCCCUCUUGCGCACGUGUUUGUCGUGGUAGCAUCGAAGUUUCUGCUGGUAUCUGGCAGAAUUGAGGAGGGCCAUGUCUCGAGCCUCCUCAAGCUGGUCGACCGCAUUCUCUUGAGUCUCCUUAUUUGAUUGCUCGUUGUACGCUUUGAGUCGAGGGUAUCCAUACUCGAGGUCCGUUGGGAGCACGGCCUCAGAUCCAUAGACCAUGACGAAUGGGGUGUAUUUGGUGGCCCUUCUUGGCGUCGUCCUCAAGCUCCAUAGGAUCGAGGAAAGCUCUUCGACCCAUUUCUUGCCGAAUUUCUUUAAGCGGUUGUAGAUCCUUGGUUUGAGCCCUUGCAAAAUCAUGCCGUUGGCACGCUCGACCUAGCCGUUAGUUCGAGGGUGGGCCACUGCAGACCAAUUCACACGGAUGUGAUGCUCAUCGCAGAAGUCCAAGAACUUAUUGCCUGUGAACUGGGUGCCGUUGUCGGUGAUGAUUACAUUGGGGAUCCCAAACCGGUGGAUGAUGUCGGUGAAGAAAAGGACAGCCUGCUUGGAGCGGAUGUUGGUGAUGGGUCGAGCCUCGAUCCAUUUGGAGAACUUGUCGAUAGCCACCAGCAAGUGGGUGUAUCCCCCUUUUGCCUUUUGCAGAGGCCCUACUAAGUCGAGCCCCCAUACUGCGAAAGGCCAUGUGAUGGGGAUCAUCUGAAGAGCGUGGGCGGGCAGAUGCGUCUGUUUGGCGUAGAACUGGCACCCAUGGCAUGAGCGUACGAGCUCGAUGGCAUCCGCUACGGCCGUUGGCCAGUAGAAACCUUGUCGGAAGGCGUUCCCUACGAGGGUCCGUGGAGCAGCAUGGUGGCCGCAAGCCCCCGAGUGUAGGUCCUCGAGGAGUUUCCGGCCUUCUUCCACGGUGAUGCUACGCUACAAGACCCCCGUCGGGCUUCGUCGAUAUAGCUCAUUGCCCUCGCCAUAGAUCACAUAUGACUUGGCCCGUCGAGCGAUACGGUGGGCCUCAGAUCGAUCUUCUGGCAGCUCGUAGCGGAUUAGGCAGUCGAGGAACGGUGUGCGCCAGUCGAACGGUCGACCGGGCCGCUGUUCUACCUCCAUCACCACAGCUGCUAUCAAUAGUGCGUCGACGGUGUCGGUUUGCUGGGCAGGAGCGGCAUCGACGCCAACCCCCGAGCCCAAGUCGACGGAUGGCUCGUAAAGAUCUCUUGAGAACGCGUCAGGUGGUACCGUGCCUCGGGUCGACGCGAUCUUGGCGAGUUCGUCGGCUGCCUCGUUGUAGCGUCGGGCGACAUGGACGAGCUCAAGGCCAUGGAAUUUGUCCUCGAGUCGACGGACUUCCUUGAAGUAUGCCUCCAUUUUCGGGUCGUGGCAGCUUGAGGUCUUCAUCACUUGGUCGAUGACGAGUUGGGAGUUGCCUCGUAUGUCAAGGCGUCGGACUCCUAGCUCGAUGGCGAUCUUGAGACCGUUGACGAGGGCCUCAUACUCUGCGACGUUGUUGGAUGCAGCAAAGUGAAUCCUGAUGACGUACCUCAUAUGAACGCCCAAGGGCGAGAUGAACAGCAGGCCGGCCCCGGCUACUGUCUUCAUGAGUGACCCGUCGAAAUACAUCGUCCACAGCUCCGACUGGACCUGAGUCGGGGGAAGCUGGGAGUCUGUCCAUUCUGCGACGAAAUCCACCAGGGCUUGCGAUUUGAUAGCCUUGCGAGGCGCAUAAGUGAGAGUCUCACUCAUGAGCUCGACUUACCAUUUGGCUAUUCUUCCCGUGGCCUCCUUACUUUGGAUUAUCUCGCCCAGAGGGAAGGACGAGACCACCGUGAUAGGGUGGCCGAGGAAGUAGUGCUGCAGCUUGCGUCGGGCGAGGAUUACAGCAUAGAUCAACUUCUGGAUUUGGGGGUAACGUGCCUUGGUCUCCGAGAGCACCUCGCUGACGAAAUAGACCGGCCUCUGGACUGGCAACGCAUGCCCCUCCUCCUGCCUUUCGACCACCACCGCUGCACUGACAACCUGGGUCAUUGAGGCAACGUAAAGGAGUAGUGGUUCCACGGGUUGAGGUGGGACCAGGACUGGUGCUGAGGUCAGUGUUUUCUUCAGAUUUUCGAGGGCUUCCUCGGCCUCGGGGGUCCAAGAGAAACGCUCGACGUUCUUCAGAAGUCGAUACAGCGGCAACGCCUUUUCUCCUAAUCUCGAGAUGUAUCGACUCAGCGCCGCUAAACAUCCCGUGACUCUCUGCACGCCCUUGAUGUCUCGAAUCGGCCCCAUUCUCGUGAUGGCCGCGACUUUCUCGGGGUUGGCCUCGAUCCCGCGCUGGGAAACGAUGUAUCCCAGGAGCAUACCUCGAGGCACGCCGAAAACACAUUUCUCAGGGUUGAGUUUGAUCUGGUUGGCGCGUAAGCAGUUGAAUGCGAUCUCGAGGUCCUGGAUCAGGUCUCCCUGUUGCUUCGACUUGACGACGAUGUCGUCGACAUAGGCCUCGACCGUUGACCCUAUGUGCUUGCCAAACACAUGGAGCAUGCAGCGCUGGUACGUGGCUCCCGCGUUUCGGAGCCCGAAUGGCAUGGUUACAUAGCAAUACAUCCCAAAAGGUGUGAUGAAAGAGGUCACGAGCUGGUCGGACUCUUUCAUUUUUAUUUGAUGGUAACCAGAAUAUGCAUCAAGGAAAAAAAGGGUUUCACAUCCCGUAGUAGAAUCAACAAUUUGAUCAAUACGUGGUAAUGGAAAGGGAACUUUCGGACAUGCUUUAUUUAAACUCGUAUAAUCGACACACAUCCUCAUUUUCCCAUUCUUUUUCUUAACUAGUACAGGGUUUGCUAACCAGUCGGGAUGGUGAACCUCCUUGAUGAAUCCGGCCGUCAAAAGCUUGUGGACCUCCUCGCCAAUGAUCUUGCGCUUCUCCUCGUCGAAUCGGCGCAACCGUUGCUUCACUGGCUUGGAACCGGCUCGAAUUUCCAAGGAGUGCUCGGUGACUUCCCUCGGUAUGCCUGGCAUGUCCGAUGGACUCCAUGCAAACAUAUCGGCGUUCGCACGGAGAAAGUCGACGAGCACAGCUUCCUAUUUGGGGUCGAGGUCGGCGCUGAUCGUCGGCACCUUGCCGUCGGAGCUGUUGGGGUCGAGCGGGAUCUUCUGGGUUCCUUCUGCUGGCUCGAAGCUGCCCGCGUGGCGCUUGGGCUCUAGAGCCUCAACGGCCAGAGCUUCGAGCUUCGAGACGAGCUCGGUGGAAUUUUCGACCGCGUCCCCAUACUCGACGCACUCGACGUCGCACUCGUAAGCGUGCUCGAAAGAGGAGCUGACGGUGAUGACGCCUUUGGGGCCGGGCAUCUUCAGCUUCAAGUAGGUGUAGUUGGGUAUAGCAAUGAAUUUGGCGUAGCCCGGGCGCCCGAUGAUAGCGUGGUACAUGCCCCGGAAUCCCACCACCUCAAAGGUGAGGGUCUCCUUUCUGAAGUUGGCUGCCGUGCCAAAGCAAACCGGGAGGUCGAUUCGACCCACCGGUAGAGCCUUCUUUCCUGGCACGAUGCCAUGGAAGCCGCCGGCGCUUGGUUGGAGCCGCCCCCUGUCAAUACCAAGGAGGUCGAGGGUCUCGAGGUAGAUGAUGUUGAGGCUGCUGCCGCCAUCCAUCAACACCUUUGAGAGCUGGGUGUUGAUGAUGAUGGGGUCGACGACGAGCGGGUGGACGCCCGAGGCAACCACCUUGUCACGGUGGUCCUCUCGAUCGAAGGUGAUGGGCGUGCUCGACCAGCUGAGGUACUGGGGCACCGCCAUUCUCGCUGCGAAGACCUCACGGCGUUCCCUCUUGCGCUGCCUUGCAGUCAACUGCAUCGAGGGCCCACCAUAGAUCAUGUAGCAGUCGUGGACGGUAGGGAAACCAUCGUCGUCCUUGUUGCCUUCCUUGUCGCCACCCUUCUCCUUCUUUGGGUCGUCGCACGCGUCCUUUUUGAAUCCCAGACUGUCGAAAUGCUUUUUCAGCAUGCGACAGUCUUUGAGCUUGUGAUUGGCUCCUCCCUUAUGGUAAGGGCAUGGCUCCUCUAGCAUCUUAUCGAAGAUGCCUCCAUCUAGAGGACCUCGAGGUCUCUUGCGUUCCAUGGCGGUGACAAGAUUGUCGUCGAAGUCUUCUCACAGGAACUGCCGCGCUUUCUGCUUCUUCUUGUUCUUCUUGGGCCCUCGACUGGGGGUCCCAUCUUCAUCGGUAGGCUGCUUGCCUUUCCUUCCUUCACAGUUAAAGAAGGCACCGACCGCAUUCUCCCCUGCUGCAUAAUUUGCCACUACGUCCAUCAGCUCAUUGACGGUCUGAGGGCGAUUCCGGCCCAGCUCCCGCACCAAGUCUCGACUGGUGGUACCAGAGAUAAAGGCCAGGAUGACAUCAUGGUCGGGUAUAUGUGGUAGCUCGGUGCGCUGUUUUGAGAAGCGUCGAGCGUACUCUCGAAGAGUUUCUCCUGACUUCUGCUUGCACUUGCUGAGGUCCCAUGAGUUCCCAGGACGUAUGUAGGUCCCUUUGAAAUUACCCUCAAAAACCCUAACCAAAUCGACCCAGUCGUGAAUCUGGUCGGCUGGAAGUUCCUCGAGCCACCGACAGGUGGUGUCGGAGAGGAAGAGCGGUAGCUGUCUGAUGAUGGCUCGAUCAUCUCCUCGAGCGCCUCCUAGCUGACAGGCCAGCCUAAAAUCGGCGAACCACAACUCUGGUUUGGUUUCUCUGUUGUAUUUUGCGAUGCUGGUCGGGGGUCGGAAUGGAUUGGGCAGGGGCGUGCUGCGGAUCGCCCUGCUGAACACUCGUGGGCCUGGUGGCUCGGGGGCCAUCCGGUCCUCGUCGCUGUCGUACCUCCCACCGCGAUGUGCACUGUAGCCACGCUCUUCCGCGUCUCCAUGCCGACGGCGUCGAUUCUCUUCAAUGUCGCGUCGUGCGUCGUGCCGACGUUGGUUGUCGACGGGGAGGACGAGCGUGGUCUUUUUUGCUCGGGGGGUGGCUGCUGAUGGACCGACACCUCCUUUUCAUUUUGGGCCAGUUCGUCACGCUUUUCAGUGACAACACCUCGACGUCGCGAAGCCGAGCUUUCGGCUUGCUGAACUGCCGCCACCUGGAGCAGCGUCUGUACCUCGUCUCGAAUGCGUCGAGCCUGAGAGUUUGAUGGUUCUGGCAUGUUGCGUAGCAGCAUUGUUGCUGCCACUACAUUCUGGCCUGCUCGAGGGAAGCGGUUGACGGGCUGUUCUGGCUCUGCGUCUCCGACGAUUUGCCGGUGUACCUCUCGAGCUCGCCUACGGACACUUCCGCCUAGUGGGUAAGGCUAGUCUUGCUAAAGGAUUUGCUCGAGCAGGACGAGGCGCUCACGAUCCUCGUCAAGCUUGGUCUUGAGCUCUCGCAGUUGCGCAAGCUGCGCGGCCCUGUCUUCCUGUGGAAGUGGGUCGACCUGUCCGUCGCUUCCAGGCGUCCUGGGGUCUUCUCUUGCUGCAGGGGCUCAACCGCCAGCAGCCGCAUCCUGUGUCUCAUCGGUGGUUUCUACCGCCCCGUCGACGUGAUAGCAUUCCCUAGUAGGGUCGUAGCUAUCCGUCUCGGAGUCAGAGUCUGGCUCGGCCGCAUAGAAACAUCCACGUCCCUCCUCCAGCAGCCGUUGCCUGAGCGAGGUGAUCGUGUAUCGCCCAGGGCCUAGGCGUCGGAGGCCUCGUACCUGGCAGAAAUCUGGCAGCUCGGACGUCGAUUGUUGUGCUUUAGAGUCACGUGGGAGGACCAUUGGUCUCUCUACGUAUGUCUGGGUGUUUGGGCAUAUUGCCCUGGUGAGCGAUGCCGCGGCGUUGUCCAAUCCGAAUGGCGGCGCCCUUCUUGGAGUGAACAACCUGUGUGGAAGUAACCCAGCAAUGGGGGAGAGCACACGGGGCGCGUCGCCUCUUGUCGUCGUGUAAUGCCGGGCCGGCAUGUCCUUGGUUUUGGCAUGCGGCGCUGCCGGCUCCUGUGUUACCUCCUGCCUCGCGCGAACCGCCGGUCGUGACGGGGCAGAGAGGUGACGAUGAUGCUGUCCACGCUUCUUCUUGGGCGGGGAGGCGUGGUGUCGAGGGCGUCUCGGGGCCCUCAACCGUCCUGGCGUGACUCGGGCUCCUCCCGGUCCUUUGAUCGAGAGCAAGAUCAUGUCAUAGCCGGAGCCAGUCGACAUGAACUCAAGACUCCCAAACCAAAUCACCGUGGAGCGUGGAAUCGGCGAAGCAAGGGUGGCCAUCUGGAAAGGAGUGGGAAAUCGAUGAAAAACACGCAGGACCCCUACCUGGCGCGCCAACUGUCGGUGUUUUCCCCACGGGAGGUCACACCAACGAGUAAAUUUGUAUGCGUGCUCCCUUUCCUAGAUGGUGAUGCAAGAAGACACAAAGAUUUAUCCUGGUUCGGGCAAGAGAAGGCCCUACGUCCAGCGGGGGAGGGAAGUUUGUAUUAUCUUGCACCUAAGUGCUUGUACAGGGGCGAAUACAAGUGUGUAUGAACCGGGAUGGAGUAUGGAGACUUCUCUACGUGUGUGUGUUGUGUUUUUUUGAUCUCCGUGUUCACUUCCGGGUCUCCCCUUUUAUAGUUCCAAGGGGAGGCCUAGGGUACAUGUGUAGGUGGUAGACUAGGGGUCGAUAGAGGCAUGGCGCGCUGACCUACUCGAGGCCUCCGUACAGGCAUGGUCUCGAGCCAUCCCGUCCUAAUAGCUUGAUGAUGAUCACGCGUGCCCUCAUAUCCCGCUUCGUACGCCGUCUCGGGCCUGUUUAUCCGUCGCACGCCUGUACGUCAUGGCGGCUGAAACGUCAGAGCAGCGGCAGUGCCGUCAGUCGAUGCCCAACCCUUCCCCAGGAAGGGAGCACGCCUAGUCGAGGGUCGGAUGCCAUACGGCGCCUUGCUAUCCAGAGUUUUGACUUUUGGCGUCUCGAGGGGGUCCCGACUAGACGUUCCAUCCCGGCUUCCCGCGUCCUGACACGCUCUGGGUCAUUUGGUGGGGAAGGCUGCAAAAAGAAUGACGGGACGGGUGCCUGUUCCCCAUCACGUUUCCCGUGACUAGCGUGUUAGGUGGGAAAGCGACAGGCGCAUUAAAUGCCCGGGUUCUCGUGCGCGCGUCAGGCGGCGGGCGAUGUGCUCUCGCUCGACGCCUCCUGAUUCGCUCGAGCCCAUUUCCGUAUUCGACGGUAGUUGACGCUCGACCCUCGUGCGGUUCGCUCGACGUCUUUUCCGUCUUCGAGGCUGCAGCCGUCGACGACUGUGUGUAUAGCUGAUUAGAACAUCGAGUAGGGGGCUUCGAUCUGUGUAAAGGUAAUCUCGUUAUGUGCAUCAGUUAGGAUACCCCUUACUGAUACCCUCGACACUCAUGAUUCUAUUCAUACCCCAAGUGGCCUUCUUCAAAGGAGUCAAGCUCUCCAAGGCAGCUUUGCCUUACUCUUCUACUAACAAGAAAAUAAAAGAACUACAACUAGAGAGUGGAGAUGGAGAAUGGCUCAAGUGUUGGUGUGUGUUGAGACGGGGGUAUGGCCCCCUAUUUAUACAGCUGAAAGAGGCGGUGCUUGUAACGUCCCGCCUCCACGAGGCCGGGCCUGCUUACAUCUAGCAGCUUUUCUAGGACAUAGUCAGUCCCCACAGACCAACACUUCGUCUUUUCUGCACACUUUGUCCUUACUCGCGCGCACCCGGGAACUACUUCCCGGUCGGUCAUCCAUCCCUAAAUUGCUCUAGGCCAAGCAUGCUUAACUUUAGAGUUCUUUCGAGAUAGGCUCUCGGAAAAGAAGUUGCAACUUGUUGGUCUGAGUCUCUUAUUAAUCCUAUUAAGCCCUGAGCCGUGUGUUACAUUCUCACCCCCUUAAGAGAUGGACGUCCUCGUCGAUCAACCCCAAGCCAGGAACAUCUUCUCUUGGCCACGUCCGUGCAUCCAGUGCCAGCGCAUGUGCCAUGCUGUGUGACCACUCUGGGUCCACACCAGCCAUGCACACCAUGCCUACGCAACUGCAACACACGAGCCCGUGAAACCGCGAGAGUCGGCUCAGAUACCAUUCUGUAACAUCCCGCCUCUACGAGGCCGGGCCCGCUUACAUCUGGCAGCUUUUAUAGGACAUAGUCAGUCCCCACAGACCAACACUUCGUCUUUUCUGCACACUUUGUCCUCACUCGCGCGCACCUGGGAACUACUCCCCGGUCGGUCACCCAUCCCUAAAUUGCUCUAGGCCAAGCACGCUUAACUUUAGAGUUCUUUCGAGAUAGGCUCCCGGAAAAGAAGUUGCAACUUGUUGGUAUGAGUCUCUUAUUAAUCCUAUUAAGCCCUGACCCGUGUGUUACAUCCUCACCCCCGACGUCCUCGUCGAUCAACCCCAAGCCAGGAACAUCCUCUCUUGGCCACGUCCAUGCAUCGAGUGCCAGCGCAUGUGCCAUGAUGUGUGACCACUCUGGGUCCACACCAGCCAUACACACCAUGCGUACGCAACUGCGACACACGAGCCCGUGAAACCGCGAGAGUCGGCUCUGAUACCAUUCUGUAACGUCCCGCCUCUACGAGGCCAGGCCCGCUUACAUCUGGCAGGUUUUCUAGGACAUAGUCAGUCCCCACAGACCAACACUUCGUCUUUUCUGCACACUUUGUCCACACUCGCGCGCACCCGGGAACUACUUCCCGGUCGGUCACCUAUCCCUAAAUUGCUCUAGGCCAAGCACGCUUAACUUUAGAGUUCUUUCAAGAUAGGCUACCAGAAAAGAAGUUGCAACUUGUUGGUAUGAGUCUCUUAUUAAUCCUAUUAAGCCCUGGGCCGUGUGUUACAUGCUGUAACAGAACCACCCAAAUUAUAAGAGAUUAAGCCUAAUAGUGACCAUUUGCACAGUCAAACCAUCGAGCUUAAGCCCAUAUAAUCCCGGUAGUCUGUGAAAUCUCAAAGGAUUUCAAACCACAUAUCGUACAUACAGCCAAGAUCGUAAUAAGUUCAGCGGUUACCAUCCACAAUUACCUCCAGUUUGCAUCAUUCAUCAAUUACAUCGGAGUUAAUUAAAGUUAUUACAAACCAAGUUCUCAAGUAGCGGAAGCUCCAUAGUUCGAAAAUACCACACACACAUUUAGUCUGAUAUAGUGCCAUAGUUCGGUCAUUCCCACAAAAGCAAAAGAGAAGGUAGAGUGACCAUCGCCCUUGGUCUAGUCAUCACCCAUUGCUGGGUACAAGCAGAGAAUGCAAUAACCAUAGUACAUCUACCCAUCUGCAAAACAACAAGGGAAUGGAACCCUGAGUACGAGAAUUUACUCAGCUAGACUUACCCGUCAUAAAACAAUAUAAAGACUCUGCAAGGAUCAUGAAAGCUGUAUAGUGGGAUAGCUGAGACUUUUUGCGUGAAAGCAUUACUCCACUAAACACAUAGUCUGAUAACCUUUAUUCUUUUAAUUGGCUCAGGUUAAGUAUUAUUACCUAUCAUCUAGAUUUGCACAUGUGCUAUUUCAAACAAGUGUAGUGAUAUGAUAGUACCUCAUCAUAGCAUUCAUAAAUCAUUUAUCAUCAUAACCCAAGUGUUCCAUAGUCCUUACUACGAGGACGAAGCUCAUGUCAAGUGCUCACUAUCCAGGAGCGAUGGCGAUUCGAAUCGAUUUCUAACCAGCUGGCGAGUUUAUUCCCCACACAAACCACACUCACUGAUCAAGUGAGCUACUGAUCACCGUAUUACACUAUCCAGGACCAAAUAGCGGGUUCGGCAGGCACCGCCAGAACCCGAGGACUGUUCCGGCGACUGAGGUAUCCAAGGUAUACCAAGGUUGCGCGUCGUGUCCUCGUCGUUCUCCUCAACCAUCACCAAUACAGUGCAUGGCGGCUCGACUCCCGGCCCGAAUAGUGUUUAGGCUUCGCGGUUGGAACGACUUAUCCUUCCAGUUAAGUGUGGGGCAUGCGUUCAACAUGACAAGAGGGCCGUCAACGAUCGGUCCUUAAUCGACACAGGCAGGGGCACUACGGUCAACCCACCAUAAGACCCUGCCCGGUCUCAAAUUCCUUUCCACACUUGGUUACCUUGCUCCAUAGCACUUACAGCUAAUCAAACUGGUGUCCACCUAUAUCUCACAGGUGAUAGGAAAUUACAUGACUUCUACCAGACUAAGCAAGGUAAGCAUAGACUCCGUGCCUAUCUUCAUAGGACAAGGUAGAUAAACAAGUGGUGAUAUCAAGGAGUACAUAUGCAUCAACGGUGUCAAGCAACUCCUAUCACUUAAAUGCAACAUAGUAGAACAAGCAUAGUAUAACAAUUAAGUUAGCAAGAAUAGGGAGACUAAGAAUGCUCUGGGGCUUGCCUUUCUCAAACGUGCUUGGCUUGUGGUCCGGGCACUCCUGCAGCUCAUGUCCGGGCUCUGGUCCUCCCAGAAGUUCCUCCUCCUGGGUCUCCUCCUGCUCCUCGGGUCCCACCUCGUUCUCCUACGAGCCUGUAUGAUGCAUGUGUGCUCAUGAGUGGAGUGCGAGAUGCCCAGGGUGCAAUGCUUAUGCAAGUGGGUACCAGAUGAUCAUGACAUGGUGCAUAGAUGACAUAGGUGGUUACGCUACAAGGUAGUCAACAUCAUCCAAGAACAUGUACUCAGGUCAAGCAUCCAUUGUAUUCUCUUCUACAAGUUGCUUUCAUGGUUAACCAGCAAGCUACAUGAUGCUUCAAAGGUACACCAAACACCCCUUCAUUCUAUUUAAUUUAUGAAUAACAAUUCAUAAUUUAUAAAAUCAUUAUUGGACCUACAAAAGUAGCAUAUAUAUCUGUUUGUCAAUAAAUUCUACAAAAAUUACAGUUGAUCACUAGUCAACCAUAAAGUCUACCAUAAAUUUUUCAUAAUAUUUGGACACUUAAUUUGGACUACAAAAAUUGCAAGAUUAUUCAAUAUAAUCAAGUAUAAAUACCCUACUGUUGUCCAAGUGUCAAACAGCAGAUUUCAUAUUUUUAUCAAUUACAUGUUAACAUAAGAAACAUCCACGAAAAUUUCCAGAUUAAUUGCAUGAUCCAAUUAUUUAUUAAAAAUCAUAACCUAUUGUCAUGCAAGCAUUUAAAUCAUCAUAAAUUAAUUUAUACAGCAAAUAAUAUGUAACAUAUUUUUCCCAGAGACUAAUCAUCUAUGCAGAGCCAACAAAACAAGUUUCAUAUUUUUUUGAGUUAUAAUUUAAUUACUAUGCAUUUUCCCAUUUUCAGCAAAAUCAUGGAUUAAACAUAUUUGUACCGAAAAGUUGUUUAAACAUGACAUGCAACCAUACCAAACUGUAGAUCUGAAAUUAUAGAGCACUCUACAAUUUAUUUCAUCAUUUUUGGAGCCAUGGAUCUCAAGAUAUGGAUUUAAUAUCAUUUAAACUAUUUUCUGGAAAAUGUUUUCUGAAAAACCAAUUCAAAUCCAGAACGAAAAACACUAGAGACACCCGGAUCUCUACCCGCCUCAGUCCCCCCCGCGACUGAUAGUGGGUCCCCGACCCCACUGGUCAGCGUGACCGAGAGGGAGAGCACCUCCGACGAGCGGAUCUCGUCGACGGUGAGGUCUCCGGCCACGGGGUGAGCACCAACGUGCUCCCCGCAGCGAGGCGCACCCGAGGGUGCCCUUGGUUGGGUCGGAGGAUGACCGGAGCACCCCCGCUGGCUUGCAUGACGGCACGGCGGCGUUGCUCGCCGUGGCCAGGCCGCUCCGGUGCAGUAGAGCGUGCACGGGGUACCGUCGAAGCUUCCUCGUCCUGCUACGAACCUAACGCGCUCAAGAACAAGCGAAACGGGGUAGAAACGAGAAGGUUUCGACACAACAAAGCUCUCCGAUGAGGUCGGGCGAACCCCGGCGAGGGAUUGCGGGUUCGCGGAGGGUUUUCACCUUGGUAGAGCGCGCGCAGGAGCUUACCGCGGCGAAGGCGAACACAACGGUGGUCUUGGCGCCGAGAACGGGCCACUAGCGCGGCAUGCGGCGAGCGGUGGAGCUUCGGCCGGCAAUGGCACCGCGGCGGUUGCUGCUGCUGCGGCUGCGCGAGCGAGCGAAGAAGAAGAGAGAGUGGAGCGGGGGAGACAGAAUGGUGCCUGGGGGCGCGGGGUGCCGUCCCGAUCGGGGUAAGCAGGUCGGCCAGCGGGGCGUCCACGACGCCGACGUACGGCCGCCACGUGGCCGGCGUCGGGUGGAGCGAGGCGGGCGUCUGCGCGCGGGAGAGAGUCGAGGGGAGGCCGGGCCGCGCUGCUUGGCUGGGCUGAAAGGGAGGCGGGUCGGCCCAGCAGCGCCUGUCCCCCUUUUCUUUUUUUUUGAAUUUCUUUUCUCAAUUCUUUUUCUAAAUUCAUUUGGACCAUUUUAAAACCCUUUUCACCAUUGGCUCCUAAAAUAAAAGUUGUUCUAAAUGAAAAGUUCUACAACUUUGUUUCAAGCUGUGAUUCCAAAUUCCCAAUAGGAUUUGAAAUGCAACACAAAACUAGUUCUAGGUUUUAAAUAAAUUCAUUUUGGGGAUUUUUGUAUAAAAAUCCAUUUCUAAAAUUCUAUAGCUCCAAAAAAUUUUUAUAAAAUUACUCUUAAUUCUUCUAACACAUAUUUCAACCAAAUUUGGGCAUCACAAGGAUUUUAGAACAAGCAUACUAUUUUUAUCAUAUUUAAUUCACAUGAAACAAAGCACAUAAAAUCACACUUGAAUGAAUGGCAGGCUCAUGUGAUGCUAUGCUUGAUGAGAAUGCUUAUGGAUGAGUUUAUGAGACUAAGUGCAUGCUUAACACCUAGGGUGUUACAGCCCUUCCCCUUAGGGAAAUCUCGUCCCGAGAUUUUCGGUUACUAACCAUUUCUUAUGAAAUUUUGGGUAAACUGUUUUUAGGUAAUCCUCGGUUUUCCAGGUGGCAUCUCUAUCGUCGUGAUGACUCCACACCACCUUAUAUGUUUUGACAACUCUUUUCUGGGUUACCCGCUCCUUGGUAUCUACGAUACGCACUGGCUGCUCUUUAUAUUCCAAGUCUGCCUUUAUUUUGAUUCCUCGAGGUUCAAUCCUCUGCUCGGGUACUUUCAAACAUUUCCUCAUCUGGGACACAUGAAAAACUGGAAAGAUUGAGCUCAACUCUUCAGGUAACUGAACCUUAUAGGCCACAGGGCCUUUCCUUUCUAGUAUCUGAUAGAGCCCCACAAAUCUAGGUGCAAGCUUGCUUCUAACUCGGAAACGCUGAACUUUCUUCAUCGGUGUAACCUUGAGGUAAACAUAUUCACCCACUUUAAACUCAAGUGGCCUUCUCCUCUUGUCGGCAUUGUGCUACCCUCAUAUGUUGUUGUAUAAUUUGUACCUUCUUCUCAUCCUCGUUCACGAAGUCGAUGCCAUAGUACCUUCUUUCACCAGGUUCGAUCAAGUUUAACGGAGUUCUACACUUUCGACCAUACAAGGCUUCGAACGGAGCCAUCUUGAUGCUCUCUUGAUAGCUAUUGUUGUAUGAGAAUUCAACCAAAGGUAACCAUGAUUCCCAAGAUCCUUUUGAAGAUAACACACAAGCUCUCAGCAUAUCUUCGAGCACUUGAUUUAGUCUUUCCGUUUGACCCGAGGUUUGGGGAUGAUACGCGGUGCUUUUUAUCAGACUAGUCCCCAAAUUCUUAUGCAUUCGCUCCCAAAAAAUGAGCGGUGAACUGCGGUCCUCUAUCUGAUAUGAUGGUCUUAGGAAUACCAUGUAGCUUGAUGAUGUCGGCCAGGUAUAUAUUGUUGACAGUUCUUAAGUAUCAAUUUUAAUUAUCAAAUAAACAAGAGAAAGGACCAAUAUGCAACCAACACCUAGAAUUAGGGUUAGAUUUUACAGAAUUCCACGAGUUUUGUUGUUUAUCUAUUUCUGCAGGGGGGUUAUCAGGAAAUAAGGAAGAAAGGCCCACAUGUCGGGAUUACAUAGGGAUAUCAACGCACCGCGCGAUUUUACAUCAUCUAGAAGACUCUAGAAGCCACGAGACCGAAGCGGAGGCGAAACGGGGCCAGGCCCAGGGCGCCCGCCCUGGAGGCCUGGGCGCCCGCCCCCCUCUGGAUUGCUUUCGGGACUCUCUUCGUUCGGGAUAUUCCACCGACCUAUUGGAUCAAGAAAAACAUAGUACCACCUCGCCUAUCGUCCCAAAAACGCAUAGAAGGGGAGGACUAUAUAAGCAAGGCCCCCCUGCCCCCUGGAGAAGACAUGAAGAAAUUAUCAUAGAGACUGAGGGGUGCCCUCGAAGGAAAACCUCUUCUCUAAUUAAUAUUUCUUUUUAGGCUUAGCAACCAAUGUAAGGUAGAAAUAGAUCUUCUAGUUUCUACUAGAUUGAGAGAGAUAGAGUGGAGGUGUAGAGUGGAGGAAGCCCAGCCUGUCGGUGUCUACUCCAAGCUUGUACCUGCGGGAUCAAGUUCUCCUAACCCGAAGCUUGCUCCUAGGAUUCUUCAGUAAUUCGACUUCUAAAUUCUAGUAAGUUCUUGUUUUAUUGUUCUUAUGGUUUAUGAGUUUACUUUAAUCUCUUCGCGUAGAGUUUAGAGUAAUCAUUACUGGCGUAAACGUGGUGUUUAGGCUGGGGUACUCAUAGAUAUUCCCUGACUAGCUGGACCGUGGUAGUAGUGAGGAACGUGACAAUUCCGAGCUACCUUUGUAGAUCACAUCUCGUUAGCAGGAAGGAUAGGGUUUAUAGGUGCAGGUUGAACAUCCUUUGUGGUGUCUAGAUUCCGUUAGCCUCCCCAUUAGAACAGUAGAUCAUCCUUACCAAGGUUAGAAGGAGACUACGGUUGCAGUCUUCUCUAUUUAUCACUCACAUCGAAAGACAUUCUUUGUGCCUAAAGGUUAGUAGUAAUAGACCGGUUAGUCAGAUGCACUCUUUCUCCUAGUGGUAAAAAAAUAAAUACGAUACUCUGGAUAACCUCCCUGGUGAAGUGCUCACCGAUAUCCGUGCGCUUGCGGAUCAAUUCCUUAUUGCGUUCCCAAAUAUCAACAAGCAUUUCUGGCGCCAUUGCCGGGGAGAAAGACGGUUGCUGAGAUAACCUGAGUCUUGCUACUAGCUUGUAUCUAUACUUUUAUCUUUUCUUAUCUUUUAUAUUCUUAAUUUAUUUUCUUUACUCUUACCUUAUGGAAAACCAAAAUUCUAAAUCUAUCCAUGAAUCUGCAAUCCCUUUAGCAACUGACCUUUUACCAUGGGAAUCAUCACAGCCUAUCCAAACAUCCCAGUAUAAGUUAAGUUCUAGGUUGAUUGCCAUGAUUCAAAACCUAUCUUUUUCGGGAAAGGAAGACGAAAACCCUUACCUUCAUAUUAGAGAUUUUGAGCAAACAUGUGAUUGUCUUCGCAUUGAAGGCAUUUCUGAUAAGACUUUAUGUUGGAAGCUUUUUCCUUUUCUUUAAGGGGAGAGGCUAGACAAUGGUACAGUCAGAAGGUAAGUCAACAACAAGGUGAAUGGGGAGUUUUACGAGCCAACUUUUGUCUAGAUUUCUAUUCCCUUGACCAUAUAGCCGACCUUAGACUCGAAGUCCUAUCUUUUAAACAAAAAGAUAAUGAAACUUUGGGAAAAUCCUGGAAACGUUUUUCUGAUCUUUUAGAAUCUGGUCCAAACCUUAAUCUUGAAGACCCUGUUCUUUUAUUUCACUUUUUUCGAGGUCUUCAAAAAAAUCACAAACAAAUGCUACACACAAUGUCUAGAGGUUCUUUCUUUCGCAUCCCUGCUGAUGAAGCUAGAGUGAUCCUAGAUAGAAUCCUAGAAGCUGAGAUGGAUAAUACCCUUCAUGAUGAAACCUACGAAGCCGAAGUAGACACUCUGCCAAAUUCUUCAUCUACUUUAGCUAUCCCAAGUUCUGAGCCACAAGAGGAAGAAAUUCCACCACCGGACUUCAUGCUGGAUAUAGAAUCCGAUCUUUUUGCCGAUUUUGGAAAUAUUUCAAACUACCAUUCUAUUGACAAACCCCAAAACGGCCAGUUUAGCAUUUAUUUACCAAGUGAAUAUCAAUUGAGAGAGCUUAUCUCAGUAAUGAGUAGCGAAUGGUUGGAGGAAUCAGAGCUUUCCUCUGAUGUGAUCCGUUUGGACACACCCUCUAUAACUAUACGCUGUGCUUAUAAUUCUGAUCGAUUUAAUGCUCUCUAUAAUCCUAUUGUGGGGAUCAACAUCAUGUCUGAAUCCUUUGCACUUAAACUAUUUAAAAAUCUUGUCUUAACCCCCACAACAAAGGUCUUAAAGGAAUCUUCGGGACGAUUGGUCCCCAGUCUUGGAAUUAUUAAUGUCCUACCUCUUACGGUAGAAGGCUCCAUGGUUCAUUUGAGCUUCUAUAUCUUUGAUACAUGGGACUUCGACCUGUUAAUAGGACAACCUUUUAGAAGACUCCUUUAUGAAGGUCAUACUGGAAAGCUACACAUUUCUUUUGGAAAAACUUUUAAAUUCCCAAUAAUAAUUUCACACUCCUUAAACAAUAAGGCCGAGUCAUAUCUUUUGCCUGAUCCUAUGGAGGAAGUAAAGGCUGCAUCCCUAGAGCUUUUAGAUGAACCAGACUUAGAAGACGAAACUCCUUUCUUCACAGAAGAAGAAGACGAACCUUCCGAGCCUGAACCCUUAGAUGAGUUUGCAGAAACACCUAGACCCCCCAUAGAGCUUAAAACUUUACCACCCGGUCUUACCUAUGCUUUCCUAAACAAUAAUCCAGAGUUCCCUGUGAUCAUUAGCGAUAAACUCACUCAGGAUCAAACUCUGCGAUUAAUGACCAUUCUUGAGAAACAUCGCUCAGUAUUCGGCUACUCACUUCAAGAUCUUACAGGACUCAGUCCUAUGAUUUGUACCCAUCGUAUUCCAACAGAUCCUUCUGUUACACCCUCUCGAGAACCCCAAUGUAGACUUAACAACACUAUGAGAGAGGUAGUUUAAAAGGAAGUUAUAAAGUUGCUGCAUGCAGGGAUUAUAUAUCCUGUGCCGCACAGUGAGUGGGUGAGCCCAGUACAAGUUGGGACUAAAAAAGGAGGCAUGACUGUUAUUAUAAAUGAAAAGAACGAGCUAAUUCCGCAACGCACCGUCACAGGAUGGCGGAUGUGCAUAGACUAUAGAGAACUAAACAAAGCCACGAGAAAGGAUCACUUUCCUUUACCUUUUAUAGAUGAGAUGCUAGAGCGGUUAGCAAACCAUUCGUUCUUCUGUUUCUUAGAUGGAUAUUCAGGGUAUCAUCAGAUCCCGAUCCAUCCCGAUGAUCAAAGCAAAACCACUUUUACAUGCCCGUAUGGAACUUAUGCUUACCGUAGAAUGUCUUUUGGGUUAUGUAAUGCACCAGCUUCUUUUCAAAGAUGCAUGAUGUCUAUAUUUUCUGAUAUGAUUGAAGAGAUUAUGGAAGUUUUCAUGGAUGAUUUCUCUGUUUAUGGAAAAACUUUUGAUAGUUGUCUUGAAAACUUAGACAAGGUUUUGCAAAGAUGUGAAGAAAAGCACUUAAUCCUUAAUUGGGAAAAAUGUCAUUUUAUGGUUAGGGAAGGAAUAGUGCUGGGACACUUAGUGUCUGAAAGGGGUAUUGAGGUAGACAAAGCAAAAAUUGAAGUAAUUGAACAACUACCUCCACCUGUGAAUAUAAAAGGAAUUCGAAGCUUUCUUGGCCAUGCUGGUUUUUAUCGUAGAUUCAUAAAAGAUUUUUCAUUUAUUGCUAGACCACUUACUCUUUUGCUAGCCAAGGAUGCUCCUUUCGAAUUUGAUGAUGCAUGUUUAACAUCUUUCAAUUUAUUAAAGAAAGCACUCAUCUCUGCACCAAUCAUUCAACCCCCUGAUUGGUCGUUGCCUUUUGAAAUUAUGUGUGAUGCUAGUGAUUAUGCUGUGGGGGCAGUAUUGGGACAAACUAAAAAUAAAAAGAAUCAUGCAAUUGCUUAUGCCAGUAAAACUUUGACAGGAGCUCAACUUAAUUAUGCAACCACUGAAAAAGAGCUUCUGGCUGUUGUCUUUGCCAUUGAUAAAUUUAGAUCUUAUUUAGUUGGAGCUAAAAUAAUUGUUUACACUGAUCAUGCUGCACUAAAAUAUUUGCUCACUAAAAAAGAUGCUAAACCUCGCCUGAUUAGAUGGAUCUUAUUACUCCAAGAAUUUGACUUAGAAAUAAAAGAUAAAAAGGGAGUAGAAAAUUCUGUUACUGAUCACUUGUCUAGAAUGUAUUUUAAGAGUCCACAGGAAACCCCCAUCAAUGAUUCACUUCGGGACGACAUGCUCUACGGGAUUAACAGGUCUGACCCCUGGUAUGCAGAUAUUGUUAAUUUUAUGGUUUCAGGGUAUGUACCACCAGGAGCAAACAAGAAGAAGCUUAUUCAAGAAAGUCGUUCACAUAUAUGGGAUGAGCCAUACCUCUUCCGAGUAUGCUCUGAUGGCUUACUCAGGAGAUGUGUGACCACUGAGGAAGGAUGGAAGAUCAUCGACAGAUGUCAUUCAUCACCAUAUGGAGGUCACUAUGGAGCAUUCCGUACACAUUCAAAGAUCUGGCAGUGUGGAUUCUAUUGGCCUACAAUGUAUGAAGACACAAGGCAAUAUAUCAGAAGAUGUGGGCCAUGUCAAAGGCACAGAAACAUAAAUACAAGGGAUGCAAUGCCACUCACCAACAACCUUCAGAUUGAUCUCUUUGAUGUCUGGGGAAUAGACUACAUGGGUCCAUUUCCUCCAUCAAAGAAGUGUGAGUACAUCUUGGUGGCAGUUGACUAUGUCUCCAAGUGGGUAGAGGCAUUACCUUGCAAGCAUGCCGACAACGUCAGUUCAAAGAGGAUGUUUGAAGAAAUUAUAUUUCCAAGAUUUGGAGUCCCCAGAGUAGUAAUAAGUGAUGGAGGAGCACACUUCAUCGACAAACGCUUCAAGCAAUAUCUAUCAAGACAUGGAAUCCGUCACAACGUCGCUACCCCUUAUCAUCCUCAGACAAGUGGCCAAGCAGAGACUUCCAACAAACAAAUCAAGAAUAUUCUUCAGAAGACAGUAAAUGAAAUGGGAACGGCGUGGAAAGACAAGUUACCUGAUGCACUCUGGGCAUACCGGACAGCAUACAAGACCCCAAUCGGAAUGUCUCCAUACCAAUUGGUGUACGGGAAGACUUGCCACCUACCUGUUGAACUAGAAUUCAAAGCACACUGGGCCAUAAAGAGAUGGAAUAUGGACCUAGAUGUUGCUGGAGAUUAUAGAAGAAUGCAACUAUCAGAAUUGGAAGAAUAUCACAAUUCAAUGAUCUACAAAGAAAGAGUCAAAAGGUGGCAUGACAAAAGAAUCAAGAAGAAGGAGUUCACACCCGGAGAUAAGGUAUUACUUUUUAAUUCCAGGGUGAAGCUUUUCGGGCAUGGAAAACUCCGGAGCAAAUGGGAAGGACCAUUCAAGGUAAUCAAUUCAUCAUCCCACGGAGCUAUCACACUUCAAAAUGACGAAGGUACGUUAUUCAAGGUAAAUGGUCAACGUCUUAAAUUAUUUUUAGAGCCCAAUAAGGAAUUUGAAGAAAUAGACGUAGUCCAUUUUUACCUUCCCAUGGAGAAUUAGAGCCCGACAUUUUUGGUCUGAUGGUUUUGGGUCAUAUAUAUAUUUUUCUAAAUAAUUCUGCAUCUAGAAACGCGCUCGGAAAAGUGGGCCCACAGAGGGGCCAGAGAGAGGGCGGGCGCCCAGAUCAAGUGGGCGGGCGCCCAGCUCCUGUUCCCCCUCGGUCCCGACUUUCUCUGUUAUGGAAAAUGCAAUUAUGGUAAUUCGAAUAAUCCCUCGGAUAGAAAGUUUCGCAAACACAUCGACGGGAGAAACCUGAACAACCCAUAGAGGCACCCUUUUGAGCCCUAUAUAAACAGACCCUGACCUCAGUUUUCAAUCACCAAGCCACCAAGCCUUCUCUCCUUCAAUUAGAGCCUGAUUAGCUCUCCUUAAAUUAGAGCUUGAUUAGCUCUCCUUCAAUUAAAAUUUUAUUAGUUCCUUGUUGCUCCAAUGGCCGAGAAGUACCACGAUGAUUGGGAAGUCGUCCCCUUCAACCUCAACAUGGAGCCUGUGGAAGACCCCGAUGCCCGUGCUCUCGUCCCGGCCAACACAGAGCGUCAGCUAGAAGCCAUGCCAUUACGCCAACGCAGCUCCACCCAAUCUUACCAUGCUCAACCAAUUCUCACCGCACCGCCACAACCCCUACUCCUCAAAGGAUCAUCAUCCAAGACGAAGACCACUAUCAAGGUGCCAACCGGCACAAGGAUCCUUCCACCUAGACCCAAUGAGAGGGUCGUUGGAGUCAAGACCAACCGGAGCGGCGAAAUCAGCAGCGUACGCUACACUACAGAGGAGGAAAGGCCUUACUUUGAAGGGAUUAGAGCAUCCAAAGUCCGUUUCAUCCCUCCAAAGGCAGCCCCGAAGCAUGCUCUCAACGCUUUUGAAACACCUCCCAAGCGUCGCAAGACUAUAAUGGAUAUUGAUGAGGAAGUUCGCAGGCUAGAUAGAGUUAUCAUAGACCUCCAGUCCUCGAUUAAUUCCCUCACUAGGCAGCUCUCUAACCACAACACCAUUAUACUAGGCCUUAGGCAGGAUCUUGCCAGUGCCAACAAAAAGAUCAAGGAAUUAGAGCGCCGCUAAGUUAUCUAGAUUAGACCUUGAGGCAAUGCAUCUUAGUUAUCUAUUUUUAAAUUCGGUUUAGGUUUGCAAUUAUCAUCAGUUUGCUACCAGUCUUUUGUAAUAAAUGCCUCAAGAUCAAUAAAGAGUAUUAUUAUUAUUAUUAUGUCUUGUGUGUCUCUACUUUAUUUUUGUGCAAGAAGGCAGAAAACAAGUAUGGGGGAGAUCCCUCAACAUGCUAAACACACUCCGACUACACCAUUCCACGAUUCAGGUACACACUCUGCACACUUUACUUUACACAUAUCUUUGAUUAUGCAGAUUACUGUUUCCGACAUGAUAAGAGAAAAAGAUUAAAAUAUUUCUAAUCAUGAUUAAUCUCAAUUUAUGAUAUUUCCUGAAAAUUUGCAAUUAUUAUAAAAUCAUUUUAAAACCCUGUGUUACUUAAGUCAAUAUGGAAUAUGUGAUGGUAGAGUAUGAGUUUCUUAUUCUUGAUAUCAUUGUUGCUUGGAGAAUUUAUUUCAAAAUAUUCAAAUUUCUAGCUACCAUCCUCAGUGUUUCAUAUGCCUGAUAAAACUGAAAAUAUUAAUUAUGAUUAUAAAAGCUAUCUGCUCUGUAUUGAGUUUGUUCAAAAUGAGUUAGACCCUUGUUGAGAGAUUUAUCAUGCUCCCAAGAUCAAGACAUUAUUUCAGAAAGAUUCACUCUUCCGAAGUAUUAUUGCAUUAGAGGCAUGGGCUAUGCAAAAAUAGAAAUAUUUCGAGGAAAUAAAAAGGAGCAAGUGCUCGACAACCUCGCAGAAAAAAUGGAC
rnacentral:lncRNA from 1 species